GAACCUGCGGAGGGAUCAUUGCUGGAACGCGCUUCGGCGCACCCAGAAACCCUUUGUGAACUUAUACCUACUGUUGCCUCGGCGCAGGCCGGCCUCUUCACUGAGGCCCCCUGGAGACAGGGAGCAGCCCGCCGGCGGCCAACUAAACUCUUGUUUCUAUAGUGAAUCUCUGAGUAAAAACAUAAAUGAAUCAAAACUUUCAACAACGGAUCUCUUGGUUCUGGCAUCGAUGAAGAACGCAGCGAAAUGCGAUAAGUAAUGUGAAUUGCAGAAUUCAGUGAAUCAUCGAAUCUUUGAACGCACAUUGCGCCCUCUGGUAUUCCGGAGGGCAUGCCUGUUCGAGCGUCAUUUCAACCCUCAAGCCUGGCUUGGUGAUGGGGCACUGCCUGUUACAGGGCAGGCCCUGAAAUCUAGUGGCGAGCUCGCCAGGACUCCGAGCGUAGUAGUUAUAUCUCGCUUUGGAAGGCCCUGGCGGUGCCCUGCCGUUAAACCCCCAACUUCUGAAAAUUUGACCUCGGAUCAGGUAGGAAUACCCGCUGAACUUAAGCAUAUCAAUAA
rnacentral:rRNA from 1 species